rnacentral:rRNA from 1 species
UACAGAGGUCUCAAGCGUUGUUCGGAUUCAUUGGGCGUAAAGGGUGCGUAGGCGGCGCGGUAAGUCGGGUGUGAAAUUCGACGGCUUAACUCCGAAACUGCAUUCGAUACUGCCGGUGCUUGAGGACUGGAGGAGGAGACUGGAAUUUACGGUGAGCGGUGAAAUGCGUAGAUAUCGUAAGGAAGACCAGUGGCGAAGGCGGGUCUCUGGA